rnacentral:rRNA from 1 species
AUCGCAAAAUUCAGGGCAUACUCGAAUCUUCGAACGCAACUUGCGCUCUCCUGGUAUUCCGGAGAGCAUGCCAGUCUUGAGUGUCAU